rnacentral:rRNA from 1 species
AGCUUGCUCCUUUGACGUUAGCGGCGGACGGGUGAGUAACACGUGGGUAACCUACCUAUAAGACUGGGAUAACUUCGGGAAACCGGAGCUAAUACCGGAUAAUAUUUCGAACCGCAUGGUUCGAUAGUGAAAGAUGGUUUUGCUAUCACUUAUAGAUGGACCCGCGCCGUAUUAGCUAGUUGGUAAGGUAACGGCUUACCAAGGCGACGAUACGUAGCCGACCUGAGAGGGUGAUCGGCCACACUGGAACUGAGACACGGUCCAGACUCCUACGGGAGGCAGCAGUAGGGAAUCUUCCGCAAUGGGCGAAAGCCUGACGGAGCAACGCCGCGUGAGUGAUGAAGGUCUUCGGAUCGUAAAACUCUGUUAUUAGGGAAGAACAUACGUGUAAGUAACUGUGCACGUCUUGACGGUACCUAAUCAGAAAGCCACGGCUAACUACGUGCCAGCAGCCGCGGUAAUACGUAGGUGGCAAGCGUUAUCCGGAAUUAUUGGGCGUAAAGCGCGCGUAGGCGGUUUUUUAAGUCUGAUGUGAAAGCCCACGGCUCAACCGUGGAGGGUCAUUGGAAACUGGAAAACUUGAGUGCAGAAGAGGAAAGUGGAAUUCCAUGUGUAGCGGUGAAAUGCGCAGAGAUAUGGAGGAACACCAGUGGCGAAGGCGACUUUCUGGUCUGUAACUGACGCUGAUGUGCGAAAGCGUGGGGAUCAAACAGGAUUAGAUACCCUGGUAGUCCACGCCGUAAACGAUGAGUGCUAAGUGUUAGGGGUUUCCGCCCCUUAGUGCUGCAGCUAACGCAUUAAGCACUCCGCCUGGGGAGUACGACCGCAAGGUUGAAACUCAAAGGAAUUGACGGGGACCCGCACAAGCGGUGGAGCAUGUGGUUUAAUUCGAAGC